AACGUAGGAGACGAACGUUAUCCGGAGUUACUGGGCGUAAAGGGCGUGCAGGCGGCUUGAUAAGUUCGGCGUGAAAUUUCCCGGCUUAACCGGGGGAUGUCGUCGGAGACUGUCGAGCUAGAGGGUGAUAGAGGCGUGUGGAAUUCCGGGUGUAGUGGUGAAAUGCGUAGAGAUCCGGAGGAACACCUAUUGCGAAGGCAGCUCGCUGGGACGUCACUGACGCUGGAGACGCGAAAGCGUGGGGAGCAAACAGG
rnacentral:rRNA from 1 species